UAGCCACGGUAAUACCCGCUCCCUGAGUGGUGGGGACCUUUAUUGGGCUUAAAAGCGUCCGUAGCGGGCCUAGUAAGUUUCCCGUUAAAUCCAGUGGCCUAACCAUUGGGCUGCGGGAAAUACUGCUAGGCUUGGGGGUGGGAAGAAGCUACCGGUACUCUUAGGGUAGGGGUAAAGUACCUCUGAUCCUAAGAGGACCACCAGUGGCGAAGGC
rnacentral:rRNA from 1 species